GUGCGAUGAUCGGUGCGCGGUCGUCGUGGAACCCGGUGUGAAUCCGGGACGGUCCCGCCACUGUGACCGGCCUCGCGCCGGGAGUCAGAGCUUCGGCGUCCGCCUUGGAACUGCUGGUGACGUGGGCGAGGACACCCACGCUGGCGUUG
rnacentral:sRNA from 2 species